GCCCAUGUGGCGAAACCGGUAUACGCAGCAGCCUGUCAAGCUGCCUCUCUUCGCGGGGAUUGCGGGUUCAAGUCCCGCCGUGGGCACCA
rnacentral:tRNA from 1 species